GGGCGGCGGGGCGGGGCCUCGGCGGGGCGGCCGCGGAUUCACCUGCAGCUCGGAGCGCGCGGAACAGAGGCGCGGGCGGCUGCGAGGCCGGCGGACGCACCGGCCUGAGGGAACGCGCCGCCGGCCGGACUUGGCCUGGCUCCCGGAGCCGGGGCGGCAAGCGAGGCGGGCGCAGAGGGGCUGGAGGCUCCGGGCGGGCGCGGGGGAGCGGCGGCGGUGGUCUCGGCGGCGGCGGUGGCGGCAGAAGGGAGCGGGCUCCCGGUGCCGGGCACCGGGCGGGCGGCGGGGAAGAUGACCGCGGGCGCCGGCGUGCUCCUCCUGCUGCUCUCGCUCUCCGGGGCGCUCCGGGCCCAUAAUGAGGAUCUUACAACCAGAGAGACCUGCAAGGCUGGGUUCUCUGAAGACGACUACACGGCAUUAAUCUCCCAAAAUAUUCUAGAAGGGGAGAAGCUACUUCAAGGUUGCCGAGUUCUGCCGUGAGCACCUUGGCUGUGGGCCUUUCUUCUCUGCAUCAGUUUCCUGGAAGUGGCGCCUUUGAGUUGAUUUCAAAGCGAUAGAGGAAAAGAAUGUUGGAUAAAGGAUCGAAGCUAAGUUUCCGCAUUCGGGACUGUUGACUGCCCUACCGGUUUUGUGUCCCAGAGAAGGUAAACUUUUCCCUGCAGAACUGACAGUGGUUCAUGUGUGUAUGUUUGUGUGCAUGCGUGUGCGUGAACUCGCUCACGCUUAUAGUGAUUUUUCAGAUCCUCGCCCUUCAAGACAGAACUUGUUGGAGUGCCUCGUUGAUUCCUGGUUAUGUGGAUAGGAUUUUUAUUUUGCACCCAAUCCAAGUUUUCUGACUUAUUUUUGUUAUCUAAACUGUGAUACUAUUGACUCAUUAAUCAUCAAAAAAUAAAAAAUUUCUAGGCAGUUGGCCUAGGAGCAGAAUGGAUGUGCAAUCUAAGAGGGCGUACAUAGUAAAGAGUUUUCAAGAGCUGCUCUGUUCAUUGCGCUGUUUUUGUCACUUCGGAGUUGGAAUGGGUAGGCCAUUUUCAGGAUCGUUUGCUUUACUGAGAAUCUCAGUGAACCCCUAGAGAAGGCCUGGGGAGGAUCCUUCACUCUCAGUGCAUUGUACGGUCCCUUAUAACUCGUGGGGCGCUGACUGCAGUCUGCUGUGUGCAUGUCCUGCUGUGCUGAAACUGGCAUCCUUAAGCUCUCUGAUUAUGUGGCCAAAUAUGUUAAGACGCUGGAGUAUCCAGUUUUACUCAGGCACUUAAGAAAAAUGCCUGUCUUUUUAUUAAUAAAUACUGCUUGCUACAGAAGAGAAUGACAAAUUCUCAUACUUCCUACAACACGACGUGAGAUUUCACACGAGCAUCUCUUCCCUUUCAUGGUGUGUUGUGUGGGGAUCUCCACUCCCAGUGGUCCAGGCCAAACUGCACUGUGCUCCUGAUUGGUGUGGUGGGAGAGCCUAGAUCACUGGCCGCGUGUCGGCCCGGCCCCUGUGGCCAGGUGGUGUUCGCCUCGUGGGGGGUCAAGAGUCACAUGACCCUGGGUGAAUCUGGACCAACUCAGACGUGUGCACUCAUUUUCCAAGCGCCCAUUGACUUACGUGUGCAGCCCAGCCCAGGGCUGGUUCAGGGAAGAAUUGCAGAGAAUCUCCCGAGCACCUGGGCCUGCUGGGUUUUCUCUGCCCCUCCUUUAGGGGCUGUAGUCGCAUUGCUUCUCCUGCGCCUGUGUGGGUUCCCUUCUCACUGUUUUCCUCCACUCAUUCUUCUGAAGGUGUAGAGUCUCAGGAAGAAAGAGAUGUUUUAUAUCUGACAAAUAAUUUUGCACAUAUGGAGGCAAGAGCUAAGGCUGACAGGCCCUGAAACCAGGGCACAGUGACAUUUCUCUCUGCACACAGAGUACUUUGAAACUACAAGACCAUGGUGAGGAGGCCUGUGUGAAGAGGAGACAGGAAGCGUGGUGUUUCUGUUAUUCUGGUAGGAAUCAAGUUAAACAGAUAAUGACUACUUAUAAUUGAGUUAUUCCAGCGGAGAGAGCUUAACCUUAAUUUGACGAGUGAAGCUUCACAGAGUGGCCGUGUUCCUCUGAGUAGGCCAUGAGCUAUUAGCGGCCGCUCCAUGGCUCCUUCCCUUUGCCUGAGUCAGCUCACAGCAGCCCCAAACAUACAGAUUCCAGCAGGAGCGAUUUGUUACACAGUAAUUAACUCGUUUAUGAUAAAUGGAUGGAAGAAAUGUCGUGGCAUUUUGUUUUAUGUCUAAAUGAAAAGCAUUUGCAUUCUAAAAAUUUCAUGCUAAUUAGGCUUAAAAUAGUUUUCCCCAAUAGGGUAGCAAAUACUAUGUAUUACGAACCUUCUGAGAAGCGGAGCUGCGAAGUACGGAAAUGCGGGACUUAGCUGCUGAUGGGAGCCUUCCUAGACGCCACUCCUGUGUCCCCUGUCUGUGCUUUUUCUGGAGAGUGUUUGCAUGCAAUUGCAUAUACUCUUAUGUUACAGUUUUGCUUUUAGGAUAAUUCACUUAUGGCCCUGAUCACUGAUGCAUGGUCAUAUCUAAAAUAGGACGGUGAAGCCGUUUGCCUUAGGCUAAAAUGCAGUGUUCUCUAAACUGUAGUUUAGUCUGGGGUGAUGGCUAAGCUGGUGUCUUUUUCUCGGCUUUGUUAAUAAUUAAUGGCCAGCCCGCCCGGAAGCUGCAGCCCGGUACCGUGACCUGCACUGCUCUCCCGCGUGGUGGGCGGAGUCUGGGCACACCCAGACCCGAUUCAUAGCAGAACACUCGGACAGGCCGGAGAGUCCUAGGUAGCAUAGUGGGAGCUGAGGACUCCGGGUCGUAUCUCCCCUCCAUCCUGGAACGAAGCAGGAACAGGUGAGUGGAAACACUGUUCACUGGGGAUGGGGUGGAGCCUGGCAUCAUCAGAUUAAUGUGGGUACACUAUGUAUAGAGUAAAGUAUAUUAACAUGGGUACACCACGUACAGAGUAUAGAAAGAGGAGCUUGUUUCUAAUGACUUAACAUGACGUCCUCAGCAAAGCCUUGCCUCUCCCCAUUUCUCAAUUUGUUUAGGACCAUCUUGUGCACCCUCUACCACCUUAUUGGAGAGGGACCAUCUUGUACACCCUCUACCACCCUCUACCUCCGUAUUGGAGAGCUUACAUUAUCUGGCCAUUCAUCUCUCUUACUUAAACUCUCAGGUUUCCGAGGGGAAGAGCUCUGCCAUUCUUUUUUUUUGAGACGGAGUCUCGCUCUGUCGCCCAGGCUGGAGUGCAGCGGCGCGA